rnacentral:sRNA from 1 species
UCGAUCUGCUGCGGGCAGAUGAAAUGGAUGUGGCCGUCGAUCCCGCCGGCGGUGACGAUCAGGCCCUCGCCCGCGAUCGCUUCCGUGCCCGGCCCGAUCACGAUAUCGACCCCGGGCUGAAUGUCCGGGUUGCCGGCCUUGCCGAUCCCGGCGAUCCUCCCGGCCCGGAUCCCGAUAUCGGCCUUCACGAUUCCCCAAUGAUCGACGAUCAAGGCAUUGGUAAUCACCGUGUCGACGGCGACGGGCGCGCCCUGCUGGCUCUGGCCCAUCCCGUCCCG